UACGUAGGGGGCGAGCGUUGUCCGGAUUUAUUGGGCGUAAAGAGCGCGUAGGCGGCCACCCAAGUCGAUCGUGAAAGCUCGGGGCUCAACCCCGAGAUUGCGGUCGAUACUGAGUGGCUAGAGGCUGGUAGGGGGGUGUGGAAUUCCCGGUGUAGAGGUGAAAUUCGUAGAUAUCGGGAGGAACACCGGUGGCGAAGGCGGCGACCUGGGUAGAUACUGACGCUGAGGUGCGAAAGCGUGGGGAGCAAACAGG
rnacentral:rRNA from 1 species